GGGCGGAUGUAGCCAAGUGGCUCAAGGCAGUGGAUUGUGAUUCAA
rnacentral:tRNA from 1 species